UUAAAUUUUUUGAACCCCCUUAUGAUUCAUCACCCCAAACUCAAUCCCAGCCUUCCCUUUGUGUUACAAUGUAUGGUGCCUUGCAGUACAAUUUCAGAGAGAUCCGUACACUUGAAUACAAGUUAUUGUCUGGAAACUAGAAAAUGCUUGUUUUUUUGCCCCUUUUUGGCCCAAAAUUCAUAAACGUUUAGGGCAAUUACCCCCAAACUCAAACCCAGCUUUCCCUUUGUGAUAUGGAACCUUGUUGUACAAUUUCAUAAAGAUCCAUACACUUACACACAAGUUAUUGUCCUGAAACUAGAAAAAUGCUUGUUUUUUGGCCCCCAAUUCCUAAAAUUUUGAGGCAAUUACCCCCAAAAUCAAUCCCAGCAUUCCCUUUGUGAUAUGGAACCUUGUGGUACAAUGUCAGAGAGAUCCAUACACUAACACACAAGUUAUGUCUGGCAGUUACAAAAAUGCUUAUUUUUGGCCCCUAAUU